ACUUGGCAAGAGGUUUUAGGUUCUUACACUCAGGUCGGUUGUCCUGGCUUUCUUUUUUUCUCUUAGUCUCUCUGUAGUGUGCUCUCUCUCUCUCUCUCUCUCUCUCUCUCUCUCUCUCUCUCUCUCUCUCUCUCUCCCCUCUUUCCCAUUCUCCUUCUGUUGCCCUCCCUCUCUCAUUUCUCCUCAUAGGUUCGAUGCAGGCAGAUGAGUGUCACAGCUGUAACUGAGGCACUGAAUAAUCAACAUAUCAGAGCCAAUUCCCAUGAUGGCAAGAGGGGGAACCAGAGAUGACUGACCGUGGAGGACAAGAGCAUUCUUCUGACAAGUUUUAGCUCCUCAGGCUGAUGGAGUCAGGGAGGAAGUGGUUUAUCAACAGCACAGGAUAUCUGAAGGGAACAGAACGUAUCCAGACAUGCCCCAGAUUGUCUACCCAUGGGGACUGAGAUACCUCUGAGAUUUACAUCAGAAAGGAAGGAGAGGCUGUUUCUACAGGUGCCACAGAAAAAUCGAUGCAGAGCCACCGAUUAUUGGAUCCCAUAGAACUGUGGAGACUUGGCAGUGAAAUUCUUCCAAAGGCAGAGGUGUUCCUGGUUUGGGAAGUAUAAAUCCCGUGGGA
rnacentral:lncRNA from 1 species